AGUACUACUAACUUAUAAAGAUUGAGAACACUUGCAAUUAAAGUAUGUUAUAGAGUUAAUGCAACUUAAAACAAUUACAUUUUAUUAACAAGGAAUUUAGUUUUAUUUUUGUGUGGCUCAACAUUUUUGAGUAAACGCUCCUAUUUGAAUUAUUAUUUUUAAGUUUACAGAGCAAUGUAAAGUGACGUCAUCCACAUCACGUCGUUGCUUAACUGAGAAGAAUCCAUUCAACAUGGCGGACACUUGCAAGCAACCGGAGAAAACUUAAUGUAACAACUUAUAAGCUGAACUGGAUGCUGAAUAUUAAAGAGUGAGCCUCAACACUUAAGGUUUGUGCUGAGUUUCACUGUAUCAAAGAAAGCGAUACACACCAGCAAGAUUUCAGAGAAGAUGCGUGACAUUGAAUGUUUAUGAUCUUCCAGUGAAUUCAGAUUCAUCCACACUAACUACCUCCAUCACUGUCUUCAG